rnacentral:rRNA from 1 species
AUGAACGCUAGCUACAGGCUUAACACAUGCAAGUCGAGGGGCAGCAUGAACUUAGCUUGCUAAGUUUGAUGGCGACCGGCGCACGGGUGAGUAACACGUAUCCAACCUGCCGAUGACUCGGGGAUAGCCUUUCGAAAGAAAGAUUAAUACCCGAUGGCAUAGUUCUUCCGCAUGGUAGAACUAUUAAAGAAUUUCGGUCAUCGAUGGGGAUGCGUUCCAUUAGGUUGUUGGCGGGGUAACGGCCCACCAAGCCUUCGAUGGAUAGGGGUUCUGAGAGGAAGGUCCCCCACAUUGGAACUGAGACACGGUCCAAACUCCUACGGGAGGCAGCAGUGAGGAAUAUUGGUCAAUGGACGAGAGUCUGAACCAGCCAAGUAGCGUGAAGGAUGACUGCCCUAUGGGUUGUAAACUUCUUUUAUACGGGAAUAAAGUGAGGCACGUGUGCCUUUUUGUAUGUACCGUAUGAAUAAGGAUCGGCUAACUCCGUGCCAGCAGCCGCGGUAAUACGGAGGAUCCGAGCGUUAUCCGGAUUUAUUGGGUUUAAAGGGAGCGUAGGCGGACGCUUAAGUCAGUUGUGAAAGUUUGCGGCUCAACCGUAAAAUUGCAGUUGAUACUGGGUGUCUUGAGUACAGUAGAGGCAGGCGGAAUUCGUGGUGUAGCGGUGAAAUGCUUAGAUAUCACGAAGAACUCCGAUUGCGAAGGCAGCCUGCUGGACUGUAACUGACGCUGAUGCUCGAAAGUGUGGGUAUCAAACAGGAUUAGAUACCCUGGUAGUCCACGCCGUAAACGAUGAAUACUAGGUGUGCGGGGACUGACCCCCUGCGUGCCGCAGCUAACGCAAUAAGUAUUCCACCUGGGGAGUACGAUCGCAAGGUUGAAACUCAAAGGAAUUGACGGGGGCCCGCACAAGCGGAGGAACAUGUGGUUUAAUUCGAUGAUACGCGAGGAACCUUACCCGGGCUCAAACGCACGACGGCGGCACGUGAAAGCGUGCUUACCUACGGGACGUUGUGCGAGGUGCUGCAUGGUUGUCGUCAGCUCGUGCCGUGAGGUGUCGGCUUAAGUGCCAUAACGAGCGCAACCCUUAUCGAUAGUUACCAUCAGGUUAUGCUGGGGACUCUGUCGAGACUGCCGUCGUAAGAUGUGAGGAAGGUGGGGAUGACGUCAAAUCAGCACGGCCCUUACGUCCGGGGCUACACACGUGUUACAAUGGGGGGUACAGAAGGCAGCUACACGGCGACGUGAUGCUAAUCCCGAAAGCCUCUCUCAGUUCGGAUUGGAGUCUGCAACCCGACUCCAUGAAGCUGGAUUCGCUAGUAAUCGCGCAUCAGCCAUGGCGCGGUGAAUACGUUCCCGGGCCUUGUACACACCGCCCGUCAAGCCAUGGAAGCCGGGAGUGCCUGAAGUGCGUGACCGCAAGGAGCGCCCUAGGGUAAAACCGGUGACUGGGGCU